CAGUUAUAAAACAAGUGAAAAAUAUUGACAUAUUCUGAAAUGAUUAUUCUAAUUGAGGUCAUGGUGUCUCGUUAAGUAUCAGGUUGGAGUCAUAUCGCAACCAUUUCCAAAAGAAAGCGCUGAGGAGAAAAGAAAUUGGCUGUAUCUCAAAUGGUACUAUAUUCCCUACGUGUGUAGCCUAUUCCCUAUCUAGUGCAUUACUUUUGACAGGGGCCCAAAGUGCUCUGGUCUAAAGUAAUGCACGUCAUAGGGAAUAGGGUGCCAUUUGGGAUGUAGACAUUAUUAAGCUUGUAUGAUAAGUUCAUAUCCGUGACCUUUUUCACCCACAGGUAAAGGAAAUGGAACGGACGGCAGACGGCAGAGAGUCCCUUGAGCUGAUGAGAGUGACACCAGCGCUUCCCCAGGGCUCCAGGGAUGCUGUCCCUGCACAUAGUAAACAGGAUGCCACAUUCCACACAGGAGAAUCAAAUCUGAAGGUGGAAACUAAGGAGUUAGGCUGGCUGAAGUAAUGUAAUGCAUCCCAUAUGUAGGCAUUCCUGCACUGGUGAGUCCUGUGCUAAGCACAGUUAUAAAAUACCACUUAACUUACAUCUGCACCUCUUUUGGAGGAACAUAUUGCCAAACUAAUGAAAACCCCUUCAGCUGGCUGGAUUAACUUCUUCUGGGGUUUUAGAAGUCAAGUCCUCAAUUGCUUUCUGCCUCAGGCACUUCUCUCUUUCACUCGUUCUUUCUCUCUCUAUCUGAUUUCACCUGUAAAGCUACCGCUUCCUCCUCCCACGGCCAAACUCUGACGGAGCCAAUUGAAGCAAAGAGAAAAUUAACUGCUGGCUCACUGGUUUUUAUUGCUUUGUUUUUGAAAAAAAAUCUGUUGUGUUAUUGCUGUUGCUAAAGUGCGACAGAAACAGAACUGCUUCGCCUCAGGCUGUUUUUCUAUUUUGGUAUUUUAGUAUGCAACCCUUGUCUCCUAGCCUGUAGUGUCUGUCAGCCUCUCAUAUUCUGGACCUUGAAGUUGAUUCCUCAGCAGCCAGUUACAUCCCUGGGAAGGCUGUUCCAUGGGUCCAGGCUGGGAGUGAAUCUCAAAUGUAUUUUCUUGAUUCCUUGUGUCCUUUCUCCUUGAUUCCUUCUCCAAGUUCAUUGGGGAACAAGGUCUAAGGGGAGGAAAAUUUGACAAUUUCUUCCAAUGUGUUUUGAGAAGGAGAGAGGACAGGGGCAAUCAAGGAAAUACAAUUGAGAUUCACCCAGGGGCUCUCCUCCUGUCCUGCGUCACCCUGCUCUCAUUGGCAGACCCAUCGUCAGCUCCAGCAGCUGCGUCUCUGUCUAUCUGUCGGCCUCACCCUCGGCCCCUCGGGACAUUUAGGUAAACUUUCCAGGCAAGGACACAUAAAUCCCUACGCUGCAUGUUUAGUCAUGGCCAAAUGUGGUGAUUUAGAGAUGCUAAAGCCACUCACAGAAACACUCCAAAGAGCUGGGAGUCUGGAAUUAGAUUGUGACAGAGUGGUAUAACUCCCAUUUUACUUAUAGUGUAUCUCAGGAGAGAAUAGAGGCUUGAUAAUAGCACCACGGGUGGUCAGUGUUCAGUCAAUAUGUAACUCGUAUGAUUGAAUACCCCUAUAACCAAAGUGUCAUCUCACCAAAGUGUCACCUAAUUAUUCAUUAAACAGGGUAGUCUUGUUCACAAGCUAAUUGAUUAAGGCCUGUGAGAUCAUUUGAGGCUAAACAGACUCCUUCACAACAAGGCUAUAAUUAGAUACAAUUCAAUUGUGGGCUACAGGGCAGCAGAGCAUUUGGUCUCAUUAACGCCUUAUUUAUUAUAUCCAGAUUCAAGGGUAGGAGGAAGAAGAAGGUUAUUAUCGAUCGUUAUUAAAUUGGCAGUUGUCCAAGGAACAGCUGGGCAUGUCACGCCC
rnacentral:lncRNA from 13 species